GGCCCUAUCGUCUAAUGGUUAGGACGUCAGAUUUUCAAUCUGGCAACCGGGGUUCGACUCCCCGUAGGGCUACCA
rnacentral:tRNA from 1 species